ACACUUGGAAAAAAAAGAACAUUGACAACAUCCACUUCAGGAAUAUGUCAGACAGCAGUGGCAAUGAAGAUUUUGGUCAACUAGUAGUCUACAUUACCCAAUACCCAUGCAGAAGAAUUUUGCAACAACAAACAUUAAACAGUGAAGUAUGUUCAUCUUUUCCGGACACUCCAGCUCUGCACGUCUAUGAAGUUCACAGUCUAGAAAACAACAACAUUAGAGUGUUUCUAUUGUUUAUCAGUUUGAUUAGGUUUGUAUGUAAGGGAUAGUUCACCCAAAAAUGAAAAUUCAUAAUUUUCUGAUUCUCAUG